rnacentral:rRNA from 1 species
ACGAACGCUGGCGGCGUGCUUAACACAUGCCAGUCGAACGGGCCCGCUCUCUUUUUUGGGGGUGGGUUGAGUGGCGAACGGGUGAGUAUCACGUGAGUAACCUGCCCCCUGCUCCUGGAUAACUGCUUGAAAGGGCGGCUAAUACGGGGUGUGCCGGCUGGUCCGCAUGGGCCUGGUCGGGAUAGUUUCAUCUUCGGGUGUUUCGGUGGGGGAUGGGCUCGCGGCCUAUCAGCUUGUUGGUGGGGUGAUGGCCCACCAAGGCGGUGACGGGUAGCCGGCCUGAGAGGGUGGGCGGCCACACUGGGACUGAGACACGGCCCAGACUCCUGCGGGAGGCAGCAGUGGGGGGUAUUGCACAAUGGGCGGAAGCCUGAUGCAGCGACGUCGCGUGAGGGAUGGAGGCCUUCGGGUUGUGAACCUCUUUCUCCGGUGGUGAAGGCCCUGUCCGUUGCGGCGGGGUUGACGGUAGCCGGGUAUGAAGCGCCGGCUAACUACGUG